UGCAAGUCGAACGGGAAUCUUCGGAUUCUAGUGGCGGACGGGUGAGUAACGCGUAAGAAUCUAACUUCAGGACGGGGACAACAGUUGGAAACGACUGCUAAUACCCGAUGUGCCGCAAGGUGAGAACUAAUUGGCCUGAAGAAGAGCUUGCGUCUGAUUAGCUAGUUGGUGGGGUAAGAGCCUACCAAGGCGACGAUCAGUAGCUGGUCUGAGAGGAUGAGCAGCCACACUGGGACUGAGACACGGCCCAGACUCCUACGGGAGGCAGCAGUGGGGAAUUUUCCGCAAUGGGCGAAAGCCUGACGGAGCAACGCCGCGUGAGGGAGGAAGGUCUUUGGAUUGUAAACCUCUUUUCUCAAGGAAGAAGUUCUGACGGUACUUGAGGAAUCAGCCUCGGCUAACUCCGUGCCAGCAGCCGCGGUAAUACGGGGGAGGCAAGCGUUAUCCGGAAUUAUUGGGCGUAAAGCGUCCGCAGGUGGUCAGCCAAGUCUGCCGUCAAAUCAGGUUGCUUAACGACCUAAAGGCGGUGGAAACUGGCAGACUAGAGAGCAGUAGGGGUAGCAGGAAUUCCCAGUGUAGCGGUGAAAUGCGUAAAGAUUGGGAAGAACAUCGGUGGCGAAAGCGUGCUACUGGGCUGUAUCUGACACUCAGGGACGAAAGCUAGGGGAGCGAAAGGGAUUAGAUACCCCUGUAGUCCUAGCCGUAAACGAUGGAUACUAGGCGUGGCUUGUAUCGACCCGAGCCGUGCCGAAGCUAACGCGUUAAGUAUCCCGCCUGGGGAGUACGCACGCAAGUGUGAAACUCAAAGGAAUUGACGGGGGCCCGCACAAGCGGUGGAGUAUGUGGUUUAAUUCGAUGCAACGCGAAGAACCUUACCAAGACUUGACAUGUCGCGAACCC
rnacentral:rRNA from 1 species